CUUAAUAGAGAAGCAUUCAGCGCUUGGGAAGAGCUCUUGAGUUAGGACAAUGGAGUGGCAAAUUAAAAAAAAAAAAAAAAAAAAACUAAGAAUCAGGAGGAUCCAGCAGACAUUUCUGAAGAACUGACUUGGGGAAAUGUCAAGAGGGCGACCCUCAGAUCUGUUGUCAGACUAUGCAAAGUCUCAUCAAAUUAUAUGGUUACGAUUUUCCAGAACAACUAUGCAUACUCUCAAAAAAUUUCUAAUUCUAUUUUCAAAUCCACGCGGCAAGGACCUGAUUUGUGGGAAGCUUAUCAUUGGUCAAUGGUCUCCCCAAGAGGCCGUGUUGAUAGAUAUUCAUAGAGAUUCCCG
rnacentral:lncRNA from 1 species